AUGGAAGUUACUCUUGAUUUCCAUGGAAAAUGCCAUCAGGCAGUCUUACAACAGGAAGUAAGUACUUGCUCUCAUAUGGUGCUUUUCAGUGGACUGUAGUCGGCAAAUUUCUAAAAUGGCCUUGAAUGAUCUCCAUGUCUUGAUAUUCUUGUACUUAUGUAGUUCAUUCCCUUGAGUGUGGGCUUGACCUAGUGACUUGCUCCAACCAAAACAUGUAUGGUUGCAUCUCGCCAGAAUUCCCCUACCUUCUUGUCCAGAAAAAGCCAGCAGCCACACUGAGAGAUGCAUGAGAAGGGGCCUUUGGCCUACAGUAAGCCAGGAAUUGAGAUCCUCAGGAAUGCAUCUCACAAGGAACUGAGUCCUUUUCAAGUCGUGUGAGUGAGCUUGGAAGCAGACACUUCCCCAGUCGAGCCACAUCAGGAAUGGAGCCCAGCUCAUCACUUUGAUUGAAGUCUGUGAGAGACUCUGGGCCAGAGGACCCAGGAAUUGUGACAUAAUAAAUAUUAUUGUUAAGCCAACUACAUUUUCCAGAUGAUUUUAUAAAUUUAUGUGCCAAUAAAUUUACUACAAAAAAUUUCUCUAUUUCUCUGACUUCAUAAAAAACCUUCAAAUCUUUCCCUUUAUGUUUGAAAGGGUGUAAAAUGUGACUACAACCAUGCUUUCAGAUAUAAAGAACACUCCUUCUGUUUGUUGAGUUUGAUUUAUCACGUGUCAGUAAAAGAAUAAACUCCUUCCAGUUUAUCACAUCCUACCUUUUACUCUCAUUUGCUCUCCAGGUUUUUAAGAAUUCAUUGUUCAUUACUCAAGUCCCUUUGGACCUCACCAUGACCUUACACAGUACUUGGUGUAUGGUUGAUACUGAGUGAAUAUUUACAGAGAGGAAUAAAGGAGAAAGAAAGGGGAAGACCGGAAAAACUAAUGCCAUAGGAAGAGAUUUAACAAAUAGGAAGCAACAUAAACAUUCAUCAUUAUUUGGUGACAGUCUCUAUGAAGAGCAAAGACCAGUCCACCGGCCCCUUUAUUGAGUACCAGGUGUCAGCCUGAGUUGCCUUGGGCAGCGCUUCCAUCCCCGCCACUGGCAAGAGCCCUGGUCCCCAGCCCAGGACGAUCCAAGGAGAGAUGCAGCCACGCCGAGGUAUGUGUGUGCACGAAGCGGGCACUGGCAUCCGGAGCCUUGGCAGCUGGCCCUUGAACUCAU
rnacentral:lncRNA from 1 species